rnacentral:rRNA from 1 species
UAGGGAAUCUUCCGCAAUGGGCGAAAGCCUGACGGAGCAACGCCGCGUGAGUGAUGAAGGUCUUCGGAUCGUAAAACUCUGUUAUUAGGGAAGAACAAAUGUGUAAGUAACUAUGCACGUCUUGACGGUACCUAAUCAGAAAGCCACGGCUAACUACGUGCCAGCAGCCGCGGUAAUACGUAGGUGGCAAGCGUUAUCCGGAAUUAUUGGGCAUAAAGCGCGCGUAGGCGGUUUUUUAAGUCUGAUGUGAAAGCCCACGGCUCAACCGUGGAGGGUCAUUGGAAACUGGAAAACUUGAGUGCAGAAGAGGAAAGUGGAAUUCCAUGUGUAGCGGUGAAAUGAGCAGAGAUAUGGAGGAACACCAGUGGCGAAGGCGACUUUCUGGUCUGUAACUGACGCUGAUGUGCGAAAGCGUGGGGAUCAAACA